UUUGAACGUUCGAUCUCAAAUCAGGUAGG
rnacentral:rRNA from 1 species